GCCCGCGACCUAGGGCGUUGAAUGCACAAGUUCCCAAGGAUCACUGAAGUUAAGCAACAUUGCACGUGAUUAGUAUUCAGAUUUGUUACCCUCCGGACAAUCGCGUGCUGCUGAAU
rnacentral:rRNA from 1 species